AAUCAACGCUGGCGGCGUGCCUCAGACAUGCAAGUCGAACGCGAAAGAGGGCUUCGGCCCUUGAGUAGAGUGGCGCACGGGUGAGUAACACGUGGGUAAUUUACCUUUGGGUGGGGAAUAACAGUCGGAAACGGCUGCUAAUACCGCAUAACGCAGCGGCUCCACAUGGAGACAGUUGUUAAAGCGGGGGAGCGAGCAAUCGCCCUCGCGCCUGAAGAGAAGCCCGCGGCAGAUUAGCUAGUUGGUGAGGUAAUGGCUCACCAAGGCUUCGAUCUGUAGCCGGCCUGAGAGGGCGGUCGGCCACACUGACACUGAAUAACGGGUCAGACUCCUACGGGAGGCAGCAGUCGGGAAUUUUGGGCAAUGGGCGCAAGCCUGACCCAGCAACGCCGCGUGAAGGAUGAAAUCUUUCGGGAUGUAAAC
rnacentral:rRNA from 1 species